UUGAACGCUGGCGGCAUGCCUUACACAUGCAAGUCGAACGGGCAGGCACGGGAGCAAUCCUGGUGGCGAGUGGCGAACGGGUGAGUAAUAUAUCGGAACGUGCCCAGUCGUGGGGGAUAACGUAGCGAAAGCUACGCUAAUACCGCAUACGAUCUAUGGAUGAAAGCGGGGGAUCGCAAGACCUCGCGCGAUUGGAGCGGCCGAUAUCAGAUUAGGUAGUUGGUGAGGUAAAGGCUCACCAAGCCGACGAUCUGUAGCUGGUCUGAGAGGACGACCAGCCACACUGGGACUGAGACACGGCCCAGACUCCUACGGGAGGCAGCAGUGGGGAAUUUUGGACAAUGGGCGCAAGCCUGAUCCAGCAAUGCCGCGUGCAGGAUGAAGGCCUUCGGGUUGUAAACUGCUUUUGUACGGAACGAAACGGUGAGCUCUAAUACAGUUUGCUAAUGACGGUACCGUAAGAAUAAGCACCGGCUAACUACGUG
rnacentral:rRNA from 1 species